GGCUCAGGAUGAACGCUGGCGGCGUGCUUAACACAUGCAAGUCGAACGAAGCACUUUAAUUGAUUUCUUCGGAAUGUAAGUUUUUGUGACUGAGUGGCGGACGGGUGAGUAACGCGUGGGCAACCUGCCUCAUACAGGGGGGAUAACAGGUUGGAAACGACUGCUAAUACCGCAUAAGCGCACAGGAUUGCAUGAUCCAGUGUAGAAAAACUCCGGGUGGUAUGAGAUCGGACCCGCGUCUGAUUAGCCAGUUGGCGGGGUAACGGCCCACCAAAGCGACGAUCAGUAGCCGACCUGAGAGGGUGACCGGCCACAUUGGGACUGAGACACGGCCCAAACUCCUACGGGAGGCAGCAGGUGGGGAAUAUUGCACAAUGGGGGAAACCCUGAUGCAGCGACGCCGCGUGAGCGAAGAAGUAUUUCGGUAUGUAAAGCUCUAUCAGCAGGGAAGAAGAAUGACGGUACCUGACUAAGAAGCACCGGCUAAAUACGUG
rnacentral:rRNA from 1 species